rnacentral:misc_RNA from 1 species
UGACAAUGUCCCUGGUUGACAGCAGAAUAAGCUGAUAGAAAAUCCAGAUAUCUCUUACCCUCUGGGUCCCAUAUUGAUGAUCCCUUUGCUUCAGAGAAUACUACUGGAAUUGGGUGGUAGUUAUGGGCACUAUGGUCUUUUUCCAUAUAGAUGAGCUUCUCAGAAGCAGGAAAAGAAGAGGCACUGCUUUCAGGGACCGUAGAAAAUGG